rnacentral:rRNA from 1 species
CACGAACGCUGGCGGCAGGCUUAACACAUGCAAGUCGAGCGCCCCGCAAGGGGAGCGGCAGACGGGUGAGUAACGCGUGGGAAUCUACCCAUCUCUACGGAAUAACGCAUGGAAACGUGUGCUAAUACCGUAUACGUCCUUCGGGAGAAAGAUUUAUCGGAGAUGGAUGAGCCCGCGUUGGAUUAGCUAGGUGGUGGGGUAAAGGCCUACCAAGGCGACGAUCCAUAGCUGGUCUGAGAGGAUGAUCAGCCACACUGGGACUGAGACACGGCCCAGAGUCCUACGGGAGGCAGCAGUGGGGAAUAUUGGACAAUGGGCGCAAGCCUGAUCCAGCCAUGCCGCGUGAGUGGUGAAGGCCCUAGGGUUGUAAAGCUCUUUCACCGGUGAAGAUAAUGACGGUAACCGGAGAAGAAGCCCCGGCUAACUUCGUGCCAGCCGCCGCCGUAAUAC